UGCCAGACUCCUACGGGAGGCAGCAGUGGGGGAUAUUGCACAAUGGGGGGAACCCUGAUGCAGCGACGCCGCGUGGGUGAAGGAGUGCUUCGGCAUGUAAAGCCCUAUCGGCAGGGAAGAAGCAAGACGGUACCUGACUAAGAAGCCCCGGCUAACUACGUGCCAGCAGCCGCGGUAAUACGUAGGGAGCAAGCGUUGUCCGGAAUUACUGGGUGUAAAGGGAGCGUAGGCGGGAUGGCAAGUUGGGUGUUAAAUCUACCGGCUCAACUGGUAGUCGCACUCAAAACUGCUAUUCUUGAGUGAAGUAGAGGCAGGCGGAAUUCCUAGUGUAGCGGUGAAAUGCGUAGAUAUUAGGAGGAACACCAGUGGCGAAGGCGGUCUGCUGGACAGCAACUGACGGUGAGGCGCGAAAGCGUGGGGAGCAAACAGGAUUAGAUACCCUUGUACCU
rnacentral:rRNA from 1 species